rnacentral:lncRNA from 1 species
UGCCCUAAAACAAAACCCACUUCACAUCUCUCAUCUGGAUACCCGUUCUCCAUGGCCCUCACCCGUUUGGCUCUAAGGAAUUUGCAGCAAAGGGCUGCCUUUGCUUCCUCUCCUGUUGAUACUUUAUUUCCCAAACAAACUGCAGCCCUGAUUAGAAGAUUGAGUGAUCAGAGCUCAGAAGGAAAUUCCAAAGAGAUCGCCGUUAAGAAUGAAGAGAACACCAAAAUAGCCCCGAAAAGGGAAGGCAAGAAAUGGGUACCAUGGAGAAAGAACGAGGGGGAGUUUCAUCUAGGAAACUCACUGAUGCAAGCAGCAGAGCAUAUAAACAGAGUGCUGAAAAGCUUGAACUUGAGUCGUCCAUGGUGGGUCUCCGGUGGCCGUGUGAAAGAGCAAGAAGAUUGGUACAAACUGCGAGUGGAGAUGCCUGGGAUCG